CUACAAUUUGCAUAUACAUCUACAUUACAAUGACAAAGGCAACUCAGAAGGUUCCUCAUGAUCUGAUUCAUCCAAGAAAUAGGGACAAGUAUAAAAUGCAAGGCAAGGAAGCAGAAGGUGUGGGAGGAAAACCAGUUCCAGGCUAGAAAUUCAGAUGUUGAGAUGGACCAGAAACUUCAGUCAAUUGUCACCACGGAUCUCCUUACACUUAAACAUUGAGGGACUUUUUCCCAUGUACUGCUGCAAGUGCUUCAAUGUUUUGGUGAAAGAAGAUCCAGCCACCCAAUGCAAUGCCAAAGUUCUCCAAUUGCCUAGGAACAUGGACCUUUUCUGCAGUAUGCAUUUGGAUUCUUUUAGAUGCUUUUAAUGAUCAACAUUAAUGACCAAGGCUAAUGGAAUAGGAUCAGUUUCUGCACUAGCUUAUAUACACCAGAAGAAAAAAGUGGCUCCACUGCCUUCCACUCUACAUGGAUGGCCAAUGACAUUUAUCAGCUCUGAACACAAAAAACAGAUCUGUUCCAAUUCAUUUCUGGAUUUCAUACCAUGCAGCAAGAAGAAUCAUCAGAUCAAAAUUUUGGUCCAGUCAGGCUGUGAUCCAAGGACAGCUUGUCCAAGCUACACUCAUUAAUGGCUGAGCAAAGAGGCUGAAAACAAACCUAAGCAAUUAUAACAACAAUGGAGUGCGGGUGUAGCUUGUUUACAUAGCGCUCAUUAUCUCUAGUUACACCAGCGCAGCUAAUUACAGGGGAAUUAGUAAAAAUUGGUUAAAAAGACUUGCCGCAAUAAAAUAAAAUGUAGAUUUUUAAGUGAAAAGAAUAGGCAAAAUUUAUUUUUAAAUAAUAUAUUUUGCUCAAGUUGAAAUGGGGUAAAUAUUAACCAUUUAACUACUGAAGUCUUCCUUGCCACAGUAGAAAAGAACAGUCCAACGCCCCAUGAUGAAGGCUGGAAGACAUUUGGAGCAAUUUAUCAACACUGAACAAAUUUGCAACUGGGUAGUAACUGAUUGAAAGAAAUUAAAUGUUUGCUUUUAUUGUUCCACUUGCAACUAGCUGAAAAAGCUGAUCACUGACUGGAUGCUAUAGAUUACUGCCCAGGAAGAAAUUUGACAGUGUUGAUAAUUGAUCCCCAGAGUGUGGACAACCAGACAGAAGAAACAAAAUAUUUAUGUACAGUACAUUUUACAAGACAUGUGUUGUCUUAUAAAAAGACAAGCUUUUAAUGUAAAAAUAUGUAAAAUUAUUGUCGGAUUCAUUGUCGUUGUAGACGUAAAUUAUUUUAUAUUUUUUUCACACUCAAUAUGCACAUUUCCACUUCUGAAAACUGUUCUUAAAUGCACGGUGAAAGGACUUACUUUGAAAGUACUCUCAGAGGUAUAACCUCUUCUCCAACUCUGUGUCUUUCUUUAUGCUUCCUCGUCCGCUUCCUCUUCAUUUUUGGCACAGACAUUUCUUUCUUAUCUGCUGCAUCCUUCUCUUCUUCUGUAGAGACCUCUGUUUCAACCAUGAUCAACAAGAUGCAAAAACUAUUAUGCAACACUUCAUUCAUUAAAUUGCACAGGUGAUAAA